UACGUAGGGGGCAAGCGUUGUCCGGAUUCAUUGGGCGUAAAGAGCGUGUAGGCGGCCAGGUAGGUCGGUUGUGAAAACUGGAGGCUCAACCUUCAGAGGUCGACCGAAACCAUCUGGCUAGAGUCCGGGAGAGGAGAGUGGAAUUCCUGGUGUAGCGGUGAAAUGCGCAGAUAUCAGGAAGAACACCCGUGGCGAAAGCGGCUCUCUGGAACGGUACUGACACUCAUGCACGAAAGCGUGGGGAGCAAACAGG
rnacentral:rRNA from 1 species